rnacentral:piRNA from 1 species
UGCCCGACGGAGCUCAAGGCUAGGCCUGGC